GAGACCCAUGUCCACUGUUGCUAACACGUCCCGCAAGGGAUGGUGAGUACACGGUGGAGACCGCUGGCGCUAAGUCAGAGGAAGGGGUGGUCGACGGUAGGUCAGUAUGCCCCGAAUAUCCCGGGCUACACGCGGGCUACAAUGGACAGGACAAUGGGCUACUACACCGAAAGGUGGCGUCAAUCUCUUAAACCUGUCCUUAGUUCGGAUUGAGGGCUGCAACUCGCCCUCAUGAAGAUGGAAUCCGUAGUAAUCGCAUUUCAAAACAGUGCGGUGAAUAC
rnacentral:rRNA from 1 species